rnacentral:rRNA from 1 species
UACAGAGGGGGCAAGCGUUGUUCGGAAUUACUGGGCGUAAAGGGCGCGUAGGCGGCCUGUUAAGUCGAACGUGAAAUCCCCAGGCUCAACCUGGGAACUGCGUCCGAUACUGGCAGGCUUGAAUUCGGGAGAGGGAUGCGGAAUUCCAGGUGUAGCGGUGAAAUGCGUAGAUAUCUGGAGGAACACCGGUGGCGAAGGCGGCUCUCUGGGCCGAUACUGACGCUGAGGAGCGAAAGCGUGGGGAGCAAACAGG